rnacentral:lncRNA from 1 species
GGAGAGAAACUUGAAGCAAUCCUACUAAAAUCAGGGACUAGACAAGGCUGCCCAGUCUCUCUCUACCUAUCCAAUAUAGUACUAAAAGUCCUAGCCAGAACAAUUAGACAACAAAAGGAGAUCAAGGGGAUACAAAUUGGAAAGGAAGAAGUCAAAAUAUCACUAUUUGCAGAUGAUAUGAUAGUAUAUUUAAGUGACCUCCAAAAAUUUCACCAGAGAACUCCUAAAUCUGAUAAACAACUUCAAUGAAGUAGCUGGAUAAAAAAUUAACUCAAACAAAGCAGUGGCCUUUCUCUACACAAAGGAUAAAUAGGCUGAGAAAGAAAUAAGGGAAACACCCUUCAAAAUAGUCACAAGUAACAUAAAAUACUUUGGCGUAACUCUAACUAAGGAAGUGAAAGAUCUGUGUGAUAAGAACUUCAAGUCUCUGAAGAAAGAAAUUGAAGAAGAUCUCAGAAGAUGGAAAUAUCUCCCAUGCUCAUGGAUUGGCAGGAUUAAUAUAGUAAAAAUGGCUAUCUUGCCAAAAGCAAUCUACAGAUUCAAAGCAAUCUCCAUCAAAAUUCCAACUCAAUUCUUCACUGAGUUAGAAAGGGCAAUUUGCAAAUUCAUCUAGAAUAACAAAAAACCUAGGAUAGCAAAAACCAUUCACAACAAUAAAAGAACCUCUGGUGCAAUCCCUGACCUCAAGCUGUACUAAAUUGUGAGAAAAACUGCAUGGUACUGAAACAGUGAAUGACAGGUAGAUCAAUAGAAUGGAAUUGAAGACCCAGAAAUGAACCCACAUACCUAUGGUCACUUGAUCUUUGACAAAGGAGCUAAAACCAUCCAGUGGAAAGAAGACAGCACGUUCAACAUAUCAUGCUGGCUUAACUGGCAGUUAUCAUGUAGAAGAAUGUGAAUUGAUCCAUUCUUAUCUCCUUGUACAAAGCUCAAGUCUAAGUGGAUCAAGGAACUCUACAUAAAACCAGAGACACUGAAACUUAUAGAGGAGAAAGUGGGGAAACAUAUCAAAGAUAUAGGCACAGGAGAAAAGUUCCUGAACAGAACAGCACUGACUUGUGCUAUAAGAUCAAGAAUUGGCAAAUGUAACCUCAUAAAAUUGUAAAGCUUCUGUAUGGCAAAGGACACUGUCAAUAAGACAAAAAGGCCACCAACAGAUUGGGAAAAGAUUUACCAAUCCUAAAUCUGAUAGGUGGCUAAUAUCCAAUAUAUAUAUAAAGAACUCAACAAGGUGGACUCCAGAAAAUCAAAUAACCCCAUUAAAAAAUGGUAUACAGAGCUAAACAAAGAAUUCUCAACUGAGGAAUACCAAAUGGCUGAGAAGCACCUAAAAAAAAAAAUGUUCAACAUCCUUAAUCAUCAGGGAAAUGCAAAUCAAAACAACCCUGAGAUUCCACCUCACACCAGUCAGAAUGGCUAAGAUCAAAAACUCAGGUGACAGCAGGUGCUGGCAAGGAUAUGGCAAAAGAGGAACACUCCUCCAAUGCUGGUGGGAUUGCAAGCUGGUACAACCACUCUGGAAAUCAGUUUGGUGCUUUCUCAGAAAGUUGGACAUAGUUCUCCUAGAAGAUCCAGGAAUCCCACUCCUGGACAUAUACCCAGAAGAUGCUCCAACCUGUAAUAAGGACACAUGCUCCACUAUGUUCAUAGCAGCCAUAUUUAUAAUAGCAAGAAGCUGGAAAGAACCCAGAUGUCCCUCAACAAAGGAAUGGAUACAGAAAAUUGUGGUACAUUUACACAAUGGAGUACUACUCUGCUAUUAAAAACAAUGAAUUUAUGAAAUUCUUAGGCAAAUGGAUGGACCUGGAGGAUGUCAUCCUUAGUGAGGUAACCCAAUCACAAAAGAACACACAUGAUAUGCACUUACCUACCCAUGACUCUACUCACAGAUGCAUCCAUCUGCCUACUCAGUGACCCAUCAAUGUACUCUCCAAUUUACUCACCUAUCCACCUAUCCAGUAUUAGAAAAUACUACUAUUUGGGGUAGAAUAAUGUCUCUGCUAGUAAAGGAAAAGGGAUAACAUUCGAAAUUUAAAUAAAGAAAAUAUCUAAUAAUUUUUUUAAAAAAGAUCUUAGUGACAGCUACUGAAUUCUGUGAGCCUCAAUUACCCCACCUGUAAAAUUGGUAGACUAAAAGAACCUCUCUCAUUGUUUUACAUGGAAGCACAUUUCCUAAUAGUCCAACACACGGUGUUCUAUCACUAGUAUUGUUUUGUGUUUACCUUGAACUUACAUAGGAAUGAGUUGUUCUUUACUUGUACAUGUGGAGUCUCUGCUGAAGGCAUUAGUGCAACUCAGCAGACUCCUAUAGGAUCCAGCUUCCUAUAGAAUCUCUGACUUCCCUCCUGUUCACUGUCAUCAGGAACAGCCAGUGACCCCAGUGGUGGCUACACUUUACUUUCAAGUUGUUGUUCCCAGGAGAUGUCAUUUCUAUCUUCCAUCCCAGUGUGGAACAUGGCUUUCCAAUUCACAUGUAGGCAAGGAAGAUAACUCUGGGAAGAUCAAUCAAGAGGAGUCAGGCAUCAGUUCAGGAGAGUUACAUUUCCUUCCUCCCUCUAGCCAAACAUUUCCCUCUAUGUGUAUGUAUCCGAGGAGCUGUGAAGAGUCAACGUCAGAUAGAAAACUUCCUACAAGGUUUG